CCGCUGUGACGUCCCGGAAGAACUGGUUGGAGGUACCAAGGCCCGCGACAGCCAGGACGGGUGCGCUGGCUGCCAGCGCCCCUGCCACCAGACCACAGGUGUUAAAAGAAGGAACUGAAACUUCCGUGACCACCAGUUCUGACCCUGGCCUCAGUCAGGCACAGCCUUCGCUGGGAAAAGGUCCCUGGUGGACAUCCCUCUCCUCGGCCCAGCCUGGGGACUGGCUCAGGACCAGUGGGAGGGCUUCCUGGAGCAGGCAGCACAAGUUUCUGCCGCAGGGUCUGGAUCAGCACGGCAUAGUCGGCCAGCGCCUGCUCCACGGUCAGCAGCUCGGUGUACCCGGGCUGCAUGGACUUCUCCCCAAACGGGAGCGACUUCCCGUAGUAGCGCUGUGGUGAGGAAGGAAGGCUGACCUGGCUGCCCCCUGUGCCCAGCCGCCGUCUGGGGACCCCUGGAGCUGGCCGGGCAGCAGCCAGGGUCCCCAGAGCCUGUGAGGGUGGGCAAGGCCGAUGGUUCCUGUGGAGGUGAGGCUUCUGAGUGACCCCUUGGCACACGUGGCAAGGCCUCUUCCAGAAGAUGGCCCUGGACCCAGUGCCUAUCUUGCCCUCGGGGCAUAGCUUCUACAGUGGCUCGCCCCCAGCUCCAGGUCACCCCAUGUCAUGUUCUCUACUACUUUCAGCCUGUAGGGCACAGUGGUCACUCGGGGCAGAGCAACCAAGAGCAGGUGGGCCUAGGCACCUGCUGCAGACUUGGAGCUCUGAGGGCCCCUCUCCUUACAUCCCCAGGCUGGCCAGGUGUGUGCAUCUGCUGCAGAUCUGCAGGACAGAGGGAGAGGGGUACCAGGUCAGACAGAGAUCCUGGGACCGUGCCAGUCCCUGACCACUAUCCACUCUGCCUGCUCAGACCUCAGAGCUGCUGGCACUGGGGGGACACUGUUCCCAAAUCAGUCCAGAGCUCCACUCCACGCCUGCUGCACCUGCCUUAGGGCCCUGCUGGUCUCUGUAGUAAACCCAUAAGGAUGUACUCUUAGUGAUGGUGAAGCUGGGAUUCAGUGUGAUGCAUGGUCACUGUUAUCUAUUUCACAAGCUACUUCAGCACCCCAACAGAACAACCUCCUUAUACAUUAGUGUCCAGCCCCCUCCAAGCCUGGCAGCAUCCUCUGCUCUCCCUGGGAGCUGAGUCCAGAUGUGUCACUGGGUAGACUCAGCAGUGCCCAGAGGUGACUACACCCCUGCUGUGUAAGUCCCUGCUUUUCCUGGCUGAUCCACUGUAGAUGUCACCACAUUGUGUGUGUCCAUUCACCUGUCAACAGACCCUUGAGUUGCUCCACAUCUUUGCUUUUGUGAAUAAACUGCAAUAAAUACAGGUGUACAAUACUA